rnacentral:rRNA from 1 species
UACGUAGGAGGCGAGCGUUGUCCGGAGUUACUGGGCGUAAAGGGUGCGCAGGCGGCGGUUCGCGUGGCGAGAUGAAAUCUCCUGGCUUACCUGGGAGGAUGGUCGCCAGACGGGAUCGCUUGAGGGUCGGAGAGGGGCGUGGAAUUCCGGGUGGAGCGGUGAAAUGCGUAGAGAUCCGGAGGAACACCGACGGCGUAGGCAGCGCCCUGGACGACACCUGGACGCUGAGGCACGAAAGCUGGGGGAGCGAACAGG